rnacentral:tRNA from 1 species
UGCGGGAUAGUCUAAUGGUAGGACGCUCGGCUCUGGACCGAGAAAUCGGGGUUCGAAUCCCUGUCCCGCAG